rnacentral:rRNA from 1 species
UUUAUGGAGAGUUUGAUCCUGGCUCAGGAUGAACGCUGGCGGCGUGCCUAAUACAUGCAAGUCGAGCGAACAGAUAAGGAGCUUGCUCCUUUGACGUUAGCGGCGGACGGGUGAGUAACACGUGGGUAACCUACCUAUAAGACUGGAAUAACUCCGGGAAACCGGGGCUAAUGCCGGAUAACAUGUUGAACCGCAUGGUUCUACAGUGAAAGACGGUCUUGCUGUCACUUAUAGAUGGACCCGCGCCGUAUUAGCUAGUUGGUGGGGUAACGGCCUACCAAGGCGACGAUACGUAGCCGACCUGAGAGGGUGAUCGGCCACACUGGAACUGAGACACGGUCCAGACUCCUACGGGAGGCAGCAGUAGGGAAUCUUCCGCAAUGGGCGAAAGCCUGACGGAGCAACGCCGCGUGAGUGAUGAAGGUCUUCGGAUCGUAAAGCUCUGUUGUUAGGGAAGAACAAAUGUGUAAGUAACUGUGCACAUCUUGACGGUACCUAACCAGAAAGCCACGGCUAACUACGUGCCAGCAGCCGCGGUAAUACGUAGGUGGCAAGCGUUAUCCGGAAUUAUUGGGCGUAAAGCGCGCGUAGGCGGUUUUUUAAGUCUGAUGUGAAAGCCCACGGCUCAACCGUGGAGGGUCAUUGGAAACUGGAAAACUUGAGUGCAGAAGAGGAAAGUGGAAUUCCAUGUGUAGCGGUGAAAUGCGCAGAGAUAUGGAGGAACACCAGUGGCGAAGGCGGCUUUCUGGUCUGCAACUGACGCUGAUGUGCGAAAGCGUGGGGAUCAAACAGGAUUAGAUACCCUGGUAGUCCACGCCGUAAACGAUGAGUGCUAAGUGUUAGGGGGUUUCCGCCCCUUAGUGCUGCAGCUAACGCAUUAAGCACUCCGCCUGGGGAGUACGGUCGCAAGACUGAAACUCAAAGGAAUUGACGGGGACCCGCACAAGCGGUGGAGCAUGUGGUUUAAUUCGAAGCAACGCGAAGAACCUUACCAAAUCUUGACAUCCUUUGACCGCUCUAGAGAUAGAGUUUUCCUCUUCGGAGGACAAAGUGACAGGUGGUGCAUGGUUGUCGUCAGCUCGUGUCGUGAGAUGUUGGGUUAAGUCCCGCAACGAGCGCAACCCUUGAACUUAGUUGCCAUCAUUCAGUUGGGCACUCUAAGUUGACUGCCGGUGACAAACCGGAGGAAGGUGGGGAUGACGUCAAAUCAUCAUGCCCCUUAUGAUUUGGGCUACACACGUGCUACAAUGGACAAUACAAAGGGCAGCGAAAC